GGGUUUCCACGAGUGGCAUAAAACCAUCGGGGGGGGGGGAGGCAACUGGAGACUUAACAGUGGUUUUUCAUUUUUGCCGCACAGAUACAAAUGCCCCCGAGGCUGCUGCGGACCGAGCCGCGCCGGGACUCAGUUCAUUUUGCUUUUUCCCUGGCUGCCCAGAGACAUGCUGUGCAUUCUGCAGAGGGACUUGAAUAUUUUCUGAAUCAUGGAAACAGUGCUAACAAUUACGCAUCUCUUGGCCAGUCUCCAGUUAAGGAGACCUGCCAUCAGAGACAAAUCACUGACCAUUUGACCACGUCAUGAGCAUAUUCAUGGCUUAAUGAGACUGUCCUUGCUUACCAGCCCUCCUGUUUUGGCCCAUAUGAGCACCCCAUGUGUCGCGAAGACCCAACAUAAAGGAUAUAUUGGAUUUUUUCCCCCUAUAAAUACAAGUUUCCAAAAUCUUG